AACGAACGCUGGCGGCAUGCCUAACACAUGCAAGUCGAACGAGACCUUCGGGUCUAGUGGCGCACGGGUGCGUAACGCGUGGGAACCUGCCUUUAGGUUCGGAAUAACUCAGAGAAAUUUGAGCUAAUACCGGAUGAUGUCUUCGGACCAAAGAUUUAUCGCCUUUAGAUGGGCCCGCGUUGGAUUAGCUAGUUGGUGGGGUAAAGGCCUACCAAGGCGACGAUCCAUAGCUGGUCUGAGAGGAUGAUCAGCCACACUGGGACUGAGACACGGCCCAGACUCGUACGGGAGGCAGGAGUAGGGAAUAUUGGAGAAUGGGCGAAAGGCUGAUACAGCAAUGCCGCGUGAGUGAUGAAGGCCUUAGGGUUGUAAAGCUCUUUUAGCCGAGAUGAUAAUGACAGUAGCGGGAGAAUAAGCGCCGGCUAACUCCGUG
rnacentral:rRNA from 1 species